GUCCGUGUGUUCAUUGACAACACUGCUGCAGUAGCUACCAUUAAUCACAUAGGUACCAGUCACUCCAAAGCUUGCAACUCGGCUGGUAGAUUAGUCUGGGACUGGUGUGUAAGCAAUGGCACUUGGUUCUAUGCUGCACAUAUACCAGGUGUAUCUAACACACUGGCUGACAAAGAGACCAGACAAGCUCUUGGUUCAAGUGAAUGGGCCCUAGAUCCUAGUUGUUUUGCUCAGGCAGUAAAGAAAGCCCGCGUUACACCAAAUAUAGAUCUGUUUGCUUCUAGGCUUAAUUACAAAC